rnacentral:rRNA from 1 species
UAUUAUUAAUUAUUAAAAUAAAUAUUCUAGAGAAGUAGGUAUAAAUACUUAAAUUUAAAAAAUUUGGCGGUAUUUUAUAAAAUUAGAGGAUUUUGUUCUGUAAUAGACAAUACACGAUAUAUUUUACUUAAUUUAAUCAAUUUAUCUAUUGUUAUCAUAAUAUAAUUUUUAAAAAAAUUUAAGAAAAUUAAUAUAAAAUAAAAAAUGUUAAACCAAAAUAUAGUAAAAAAUUAAGAUUGAAAUGAAAUAUAAUAAAUUUAUUUAUAUGAAAUUUAUUUUUUAAAAAAUGAAGGAAGGUGGAUUUAACAGUAAAUCAUUAUAUAUUUAAUGUUUGAAUUAACUAUUUAAUACGUACAUAUUGCCCGUCGCUUUUAAGUUUUGUUAAAAUAA